GUGCUCACCUCUGCAGCGCAUACUAAAAAAUCAGAACAAUAAAGAGAAGAUUAGCAUGGCCCCUGUGCGAGGAUGACACAUAAAUUCAAAAAGCAUCCACCCCCCCC